CGGGAUUGAACUCGAGAGUUUACCAUCUAACUUACUCAUUGAUAUUUAUUUUUUAUCCUCCUAGAAAUCCAUUUCAACAAUUACCAAUUUCAGAUAGCAAAAACGGAGGCAGCACAUGGCCAUUCACAUCCCUGUAACAAGGAUCAAUGGAACCCUGGAUUUAUCAAAAAUAGAGCUGCCGUCAGAACUUCACUGACAUUGCACAGUUGUUCCCGAGGCAACAUCACGCUUAAUUUCGGGUUUAUAUGAAUGGGAUGAAGGAUGGUGGGAAAGAAGGAAAAAAAAUUACCAAGAAGCCAAUAAUCUUUAAACAUUUCAAGACAACUUAGCGUUGACACAUUUUGCUCCAUAAGCUUCACCUGUCUAACAUUCUUCCCUGCUGGAAGGUCUGGUCAUCAUUCUAAACACAACAUACGGCGGAAAUGUUCCCAUUGCUUUUUCUGGUGUCCAAGAACAAAUGCUUUCACAGAAAAUAUAUCUAUAUUGGGAACAAAGGGAAAGAAUUGAAUGAUGCAAAGGGUUGGAGAAAAGGAGAUAAUUACUGACCAUGUGCUAUGGUUUUCCAUUGGGUUUUGGCGAUUGAUGGGGGUAUUGAUGAUGGUGAGGAGAUGCAUGGGAACCAUUUGGUAUUGAAAGGCUCCUCUGUUGCUGUCCAUUCCUCAACAAUCCUCCUUGUGUUCGGUUGCUAUUUUUGGCAUUUGGGCUGGAUAAAGUUCGCUCAGCUUGCAUGGUCUGGAAAUAAUAUGAUGAGCUUGCCAUGUCCUUAAGAUUUGGCAGAGGCUUCAGCACCUCCACAACUUCACUCAUCAGGGGCCUGGCUUUUGGAUCCCGGCUAAGACAGUGAGCAGCCAGUUGUGCCGUUUUCUGGGCACCUUUUAUGGAAAAGUGGCCUUCAAGCCGAGGAUCUAUCAAUCUGUAGAAUCUUCUCCUCUCUCCUAGAUGUGGCCGAGCCCAUUCCACAAGGUUAUGCUCUCCAAUAGGUCGAUUCUUAUCCAUGGACCUUCUGCCAGUUAUCAUUUCAAGUAAAACUACACCAAAACUAUAGACAUCACUCUUUGAUGUGAGAUGCCCUGAGACAUGAAAAGUUUUAAUCUGUUAAAGACUCAAUGGAAGAAGUAAAAGAGUCCAGUCUACAUGUAUUUUGAUAGCAUCUUGAGAUUAUUAUAUCCAGCUAAGCAAAGAAAAUAUGUGUGUAUAUAUAUAUAU
rnacentral:misc_RNA from 1 species